rnacentral:tmRNA from 1 species
GGGAAUGUUUUGGUUUCGACAGGAUAGGAAGCUUAUUAUCGGCAAGUAAGCGGGAGCUUUAAAAUCCAAUUUAAAUAUAAUCGGAAACGAUAAUUACGCACUAGCUGCUUAAAUUGCAGCUCGUCACUGUAAGAAAUUGCCAUUUUUCUUUCGGAUGACGUCACUUUAAUGGCUUACUUAAAUGUAUGAUUAUGUCAUUUAAGGACAUUUUAUAAUCUCGCCGUUGGACUUUUGUUUGUUUAAUAUCCUGCGGUUAAAAAGAUAAAUGAACUAAACUUGUAGAUGAUAGUGAGAACUUCGUAUUUUGGACACGGGUUCGAUUCCCGUCAUUUCCACCA